rnacentral:lncRNA from 1 species
CAAAUAUAUCUACCAGGGAAACCAUCAGAUGUUCAUCAGGAAGCUUGUUAGUUGCAGUAACUUCAACGAGAGCAUAACAAUACAAUUGCAGAGAUGAUUUCAUCCACAAGAUGUCAGUUUGUUGUUACAAUCUGAAAGGGAAAGGUGCUCAUGGGGUCUCCGAAAGAGGAUAUUAAGUCUAGGCCAUUGACCUCACUGCAUAUGCCCGUGGAGGAUAACUGAUCUUCCAACUUGAUGAAUCAAGUGUUGGAUGUGUCUGUGUUGUACCUAAUGAUUUAACCGCCCAUAUAUUUCUCGAUUCAAGUACAUUUGUUCUAAUUCUGGACUGUUGCACCUUGCGGGAUGUCCAUGGUUUUGUGGCUGGUUGGUGGAUUCAUCUUGAAGAUUGUACUCUACCUUUGGUGUUGGACAUGGCUCUGUUCAUCUAGAACAUCUGCUGCAACAAAAACCACUAGGAAAUAAGAUGAUGCAAGAACUUGGGUAAAAAUGUUUUUGUUUCUAGUUCUUUCAUAUGUAAUUUGGCGAUUUAUUAUGUAAAGUGUUCAUAUAGUCUGCAUCCCUUCGUAAAGAAGGGGUGCUUGCAUAGAAGAAAAUCACCAAAGCUGAGUUGAUUUAUCCUUCAGUUGUAGUAAAUUUGAAUGCUGGCAAUCUCAUGGUGAUAGGGUCGUGAAGCAAUAUAUGAUCCAAGCUAAACCUAUCGUGUGGAUAUGUAGCAUCAUGUAAGAAAGAAUUUACCGAGGAGAAAUAAGCGAAAUCAUCAUUUGCACUGUGUUUAAAUUGUAAUAGCAAUGUAAUUAAGCAUCGUGUGGGAAGUUUUAAGUGGGUCUCAGGAGAACAUGUUGCUGUUAUAUUCUGAUGUAGCAUAUGUAGUCCAUUUACAAGGGAAAGCAUCCUUGCAAGCCAU